GAGUAACACGUGAGUAACCUGCCCCUGACUUCGGGAUAAGCCCGGGAAACUGGGUCUAAUACCGGAUACGACUGCCGGACGCAUGUCUGGUGGUGGAAAGUUUUUUCGGUUGGGGAUGGGCUCGCGGCCUAUCAGUUUGUUGGUGAGGUAAUGGCUCACCAAGACGACGACGGGUAGCCGGCCUGAGAGGGCGACCGGCCACACUGGGACUGAGACACGGCCCAGACUCCUACGGGAGGCAGCAGUGGGGAAUAUUGCACAAUGGGGGAAACCCUGAUGCAGCGACGCAGCGUGCGGGAUGACGGCCUUCGGGUUGUAAACCGCUUUCAGCAGGGAAGAAGCGCAAGUGACGGUACCUGCAGAAGAAGUACCGGCUAACUACGUGCCAGCAGCCGCGGUAAUACGUAGGGUACGAGCGUUGUCCGGAAUUAUUGGGCGUAAAGAGCUCGUAGGUGGUUGGUCACGUCUGCUGUGGAAACGCAACGCUUAACGUUGCGCGUGCAGUGGGUACGGGCUGACUAGAGUGCAGUAGGGGAGUCUGGAAUUCCUGGUGUAGCGGUGAAAUGCGCAGAUAUCAGGAGGAACACCGGUGGCGAAGGCGGGACUCUGGGCUGUAACUGACACUGAGGAGCGAAAGCAUGGGGAGCGAACAGGAUUAGAUACCCUGGUAGUCCAUGCCGUAAACGUUGGGCACUAGGUGUGGGGGGCAUUCCACGUUCUCCGCGCCGUAGCUAACGCAUUAAGUGCCCCGCCUGGGGAGUACGGUCGCAAGGCUAAAACUCAAAGGAAUUGACGGGGGCCCGCACAAGCGGCGGAGCAUGCGGAUUAAUUCGAUGCAACGCGAAGAACCUUACCAAGGCUUGACAUACACCGGACCGUCCUGGAAACAGGUCUUCUUCUUUGAAGCUGGUGUACAGGUGGUGCAUGGUUGUCGUCAGCUCGUGUCGUGAGAUGUUGGGUUAAGUCCCGCAACGAGCGCAACCCUCGUUCUAUGUUGCCAGCACGUGAUGGUGGGAACUCAUAGGAGACUGCCGGGGUCAACUCGGAGGAAGGUGGGGAUGACGUCAAAUCAUCAUGCCCUUUAUGUCUUGGGCUUCACGCAUGCUACAAUGGCUGGUACAGAGAGAGGCGAACCCGUGAGGGCAAGCGAAUCCCUUAAAGCCAGUCUCAGUUCGGAUCGUAGUCUGCAAUUCGACUACGUGAAGUCGGAGUCGCUAGUAAUCGCAGAUCAGCAACGCUGCGGUGAAUACGUUCCCGGGCCUUGUACACUCCGCCCGUCAAGUCACGAAAGUCGGUAACACCCGAAGCCG
rnacentral:rRNA from 1 species